GUUUAGUAUCAGCAGUUUUAGUCAGAUUGACCUGUCACUGGAGGACGUUUAAGACAUGACAACGGCAGUAGUGCAGAAAAUGGCAUUGGGGGCAGGAAUUGGUCUCGUGGCCGCUGGUGUUGGACAAUUGUUUGGUGGCACUCGUGGAUUAGCGGCAGGUGCGGCUGUGGGAGGUGCAACUCUGUUUUUUGUGAAUCUAGAUCUUAAGCCUCUAUCUGAAAUUUUUCUCUCAAAUAAAAAGAAAGAAGCACUCCUGAAACUGAUCCUAUCACUGACCUCUAUUGCUGUUGAUCUCUGGAAGAAUUCUGAUAACAUACAUCUGAACAGUAAAACUGCUUGUCGUCUUAUUGAGAAUGGAUUGUCUAAGGGAAUUCCACAGCAGAUCAUG